UUUAAUUGAGAUCUUGUAUGAAUGAUUGGACAAAAAAAUAACUGUCUUUGCAUUAAAAUUUAAAUUUAACUUUUAAGUGAAAAGGCUUAAAUGUUCUAAAGGGACGAUAAGACCCUAUAAAACUUUACAUUAUAAAUUAAUGUUUAUUAAUUUAUACAAUAAUAAUUAAAUUUAAUUUAUUUGUUAUGUUGGGGAGACAGAGGCUAUAAUUUUAUAUAACUGCUUAAAAGAAAAACAAAGAUAAAUGAUUAGUGUAAAGGAUCCUUUAUAAAGAUUAUAAGAUUAAGUUACUUUAGGGAUAACAGCGUUAUUUUUUUUAAGAGUUCAUAUCGAAAAAAGAGAUUGCGACCUCGAUGUUGAAUUAAAAUAUCUUUAUAAUGCAGGCGUUAUAAAAGAAGGUCUGUUCGACCUUUGAUUUUUU
rnacentral:rRNA from 1 species